GACGAACGCUGGCGGCGUGCUUAACACAUGCAAGUCGAACGGAAAGGCCCUGCUUUUGUGGGGUGCUCGAGUGGCGAACGGGUGAGUAACACGUGAGUAACCUGCCCUUGACUUUGGGAUAACUUCAGGAAACUGGGGCUAAUACCGGAUAGGAGCUCCUGCUGCAUGGUGGGGGUUGGAAAGUUUCGGCGGUUGGGGAUGGACUCGCGGCUUAUCAGCUUGUUGGUGGGGUAGUGGCUUACCAAGGCUUUGACGGGUAGCCGGCCUGAGAGGGUGACCGGCCACAUUGGGACUGAGAUACGGCCCAGGGUCCUACGGGAGGCAGCAGUGGGGAAUAUUGCGCAAUGGGCGGAAGCCUGAUGCAGCAACGCCGCGUGCGGGAUGACGGCCUUCGGGUUGUAAACCGCUUUCGCCUGUGACGAAGCGUGAGUGACGGUAAUGGGUAAAGAAGCACCGGCUAACUAC
rnacentral:rRNA from 1 species